CCUGUUCUUGGGCCGAGCAAAUUGACGAGUCUUCUACUUAAUUGAGAUUCCAUUGCCAGUUCGUAUCGACGAAACUCGUAGCCGUCUCAAACCCAUUUGUUCAUGAUCAAAGUUCCAUUCCAGCAAGGUAAAUUCCUAUCUCGGUUUGGUGAAUGUACGAGCCAAAGUUUCAAAAUCUAACCCUUGUUUGAACAUAAUAGAGACCGAGCCUGAUGUUAAACUGCUGGUUAAUAACAUGUUCGCACCUCGGUUUUGGGCUAUAUGUGGAUUUCCGGUUUGUUUUCGAUGUGUGAACACCCCCCAGAAGUUGCUCGUAACAUGUUUGAUGAAAUGCUCAAGUCAAGCCGUUACAUACAGUUUAUUGAUUUCUGUCCGCUUUAGGAUGCGUAUUGGCCAGAUUAGUACAACUGAAAACCCCUUUCUAUUUUGGAGUGUUACUUCUAUCAUGAGACCAAGACUGAGCAUACAGUUGUUUCUUUCUUUUCCUCCCUUUUGCAUGUCUCCUUGCGACAUGUGCUUGCCAAUGAGGAAAUGUUCGGAGUCCACAUCAGUAAUGUCAAUCCUAUAAGAUAUUUUGUAUCAAUUUGUCUCUCCAAUUUGUAAUCUUCAUAUAUUUGCUGUUAUGUGUUCUGAAUGUGGGACGCCAGUGACCGACAGUGACUAAAGGUGCUAAUUUUGGGGCGGAUAAUAACUGGCAAAAGUCUUUGGUGAUUGUUGUGAUGGUGGUUCCAUUCGGUGAUGGUGGCUGACGAAAGUGGUUGAUGGCUGGAGAUGGUGUCAGGUUAUAUAAUUUCUAGAAAUAUGCAUUUUAUUCAUAUCCUAAUCAUUUCUUUGAAAUUGUGGCUGUAAUUUGUGAAUGGAGAUGGUCGGCUAUGGUGUUGUGCGGUGGCGGUGUUGGUUAGUAACGAUGUUGAUCGGUGACUUUGGUCGUUGGUAGUGACGUGACUCAGCAAUGGAUCAGGAUGAGCAGUGGAGAAGCUAAGUUGAUCUUAAUAUUGGGCUGUAUUAGCUCAGAUGUAUCUUUGGCUAAAGUUUUAGUAAUCUGAUUCUUUAGUUUUAGUGAUCUGGAUAUGAGGCUUUAGUAAUCCAGUCAUUAGGCUUGAUAUGAGACAAGUUUGGAGACAAUGAACCUUAGAAGGAAGGUGCAGACGUCCAAGUGUCACAGGUAAUUCUUUCGAUCACAAACUGUGCGGCACUUUCUCGUACACUUGAGGAAGGGAAUUUCUAGAGAAAGUAAAGAGAAGUUCUGAAGAAUACUCUAUUACUCAAAUAAAGUGGUUGAUAUAAAUGAGAGGGAGGACUCUGCUAUUUAUACAAAAGUCCCUAUAAUUAGAACUAUUGAUCUUCUAUGCAAUCUAACGGGAUAGGAUGUCAAUUCUUGUUUAAUUGAUCUGACAGUAGAGAUCCAUUUGAUCUAAUAGUGGAGGAUUUUGAUAGUGGUCACAUUAAUCCAAUGAUGGAAAUUAGCUCUAUCUAACGGUUGAGGGCGUCAAUCUUUGUCAAGUAAAUCCGAUGUUAGGUAUUGAAUUUUCUUGAAAGCUAAUAGCUUUUAUGAGUACUUAUGGAUCGAUGAUAUAGCGACCCUUUGGAUUAUUGAUAUGGCGUUUUUUGGUCUGUGACAUUCUCUCCCACUAAUGUAGGGGCCAAUAAUUUCCGAUGAAAAUUGGUUGAGACUAAAUACGCAAAAUGAAAAGUAUAUGAUUAAAUUUACAUCCGUAGAUAGGUGUGGAACUAAUUGGCUAAUUUUCUUGUCAAAUUGGUGUUGAUUUUGUUUUGGUCAAAAGAGAAGCUUUCUUUAUUGAAGAGUUGAACGAAGGAGCCCGUAAGGGGCAUCUAAACACACCAAGUCCUUAAGGGGCUGGGGUUUGGACUAGCCAAUUUCGUGGAAGAGAAUUCACUUGUUGAGCUUUCACGACUUAAUACACUACUCUGUUUGGCUCUCUACUCUUAGAUCACAAAAGCAAAGUAACAGAUCUUGAGCUAGCUUCAGAGAUGAGAGCGCGCUCACCCCACCCGGUGCGAUCUGCGGACUUCAAAGAAGGAACUAAACUCAAAAGGGUCAUUGUUGAGUUCAAGACUUUGGGAUCUUCGAGAAGAGAGAAACUUCAGCGAGUGCACGAAUGCUAGGGUUUCUGCUUGGCUUGCCGAGGAGACUGCGAAGCCGUCCAAGAGAAUACCAGAGGAAUCACACACGACGCAAGCUAUGGCACCCUCGGUCGAGCCUGGUAAGUAGGAUCCUUCUAUGUUUACCUUUAGUUCGUCUUUCCCAGGGGGUCUCCAAGCUCGAUCCGGGGUGUUUCGUGUUCCGGUCUAUGGGCUUCUGUCGGGGUUCUUGCUUCCUCUCUUUCUUGCUCCAUUCCGCGUCACUUUCGAGCUGGACAUGGGCAGAUUUUACUAUAUCGGUCGGCCUAAGGGUUAAGGCCACUGAAGAUGGCCUUGUUCCGAGACUUCCAAAUGAGCCAUAAAAACACCUGUGAUUAGUUCGAAGGCGCGUCCUCCCGUGAAAAAGGCUGGUUUCCCAACACUUUUUAAGUCGUGCCGUGUUAUAAUCGAUCUGCAAGGUCCCAUAUUCAAUGGGAAGAACCACGAGAGGCCCAUGAUGGGGAUGUGCAUUUAUCCAAUUAAGUGACUUCGGCUAAAUAUGAAGUUAGUUUCUCGAACAUUUUCAUUCUCC
rnacentral:lncRNA from 1 species